AGUGUGACACUCGGCCAUUGAGGCUGUGCGCGUUUACGCGGUGACACUCACAUUGUGUGUGGCGUGCCUUCGGGGCUUCCACCGGUGUGGCAUCUUCUAAUAGCCGCGUCGGAUUACCAGCUGUUUAUUGACUCACUAACGGACCCAUCGUAUGAUUUCUGUGUGCAUGUGAUUUACGUGUGUGUGCGCGCCGAUAUUAAAUCAGGGAAAUCUCUUUGCCCGCUUUAAAGCAAGGUUGAGCAGCUACAUUAACAACUUGCUAUCAGAACCUCUUGCUUUUUGAGCCACGUCUGCUGCUUUGGAGGAAAUCGAACUGAUUGCUGUGAUUCCAUCCCGUUUGCUGUUCAGGCGAGCUGUUUUAGGCUCGAGUGGGCCUGAAUG